CGGGCUGUGGCGCAGCUUGGUAGCGCACUUGGUUUGGGACCAAGGGGUCGUCGGUUCGAAUCCGACCAGCCCGACCA
rnacentral:tRNA from 1 species